AGAUAUCCACGACUGUUACAGAUGCUUCGUGGAGGUUCAAAAAGACUACAGAUCAAGGCCAGUGACCUUCUACACAUGGUGGACACUCCAGCCUCUGCUCAAUCUCCAUCCACACUUAAAGGAAAUAGCCAACUCUUGGCCAACCUUCAGGCCUGGGAAGAGGCUCAAGCAGACACUGAAGACGGACUUAAGGCUGAAUAUGGCUGGAAUACUGCCCAAAUGAACUGACCAUUUUCCCAGUACUUUCAUCUUCAGAGAGAAGGCACUAAAAGUGGAUGGAGAGAAGACACAGAGGCUGGGCUGAAGGGGGAGGAAGCUGGGAGCCCUGCACAGGGCUACUGCACACUGGGACCUGCUCCUGGUUCAGCUCUGGAGGAAAGGCAUGACCAAGGACCAGGGUAUAUACACCAGACAACAGAGCCGUUUCAUUUUGGGGGCUCGUUUGGGAUCAGAAUCAGAAUGGAAGGUAGAAACAUCAGAGUGGCUAUACGAUGUCCGGAAGUGGUGGGUUCUUGGUCUCACUGACUUCAAAAAUGAAGACGAAGACGUGGACUCUGGCGGUGAGUGUUACAGUUCUUAAAGGCGGUGUGUCCGGAGUUCAUUCCUUAUAAUGUUGGGAGUUUCUUCCUUAUGGUGGGUUUGUGGUCUCGCUGGCUCCGGAGUGAAGCUGCAGACCUUCGCGGUGAGUGUUACAGCUCUUAAGGCGGCACGUCUGGAGUUGCUGGAUCCUCCCGGUGCGUUUGUGGUCUCGCUGACUUCAGGACUGAAGCUGCAAACCUUUGCCGUGAGUGUUACAGCUUAUAAAAGCAAUGUGGACCCACAGAGAGAACAGCAGCAAGAUUUAUUGGAAAGAGAUAAAGAAUAAGGCUUCCACACUGUGGGAGGGGACCGGAGGGGGUUGCCACUGCUGGCUCCGGCA